GAUGAAGAACGCAGCGAAAUGCGAUAAGUAAUGUGAAUUGCAGAAUUCAGUGAAUCAUCGAAUCUUUGAACGCACAUUGCGCCCCUUGGUAUUCCGAGGGGCAUGCCUGUUCGAGCGUCAUUGCUGCCCUCAAGCACGGCUUGUGUGUUGGGCCUCCGUCCUCCUCCCGGGGGACGGGCCCGAAAGGCAGCGGCGGCACCGCGUCCGGUCCUCGAGCGUAUGGGGCUUCGUCACCCGCUCUUGUAGGCCCGGCCGGCGCUUGCCGACACAUCAAUCUUUUUUCCAGGUUGACCUCGGAUCAGGUAGGGAUACCCGCUGAACUUAAGCAUAUCAAUAAGCGGAGGA
rnacentral:misc_RNA from 1 species